ensembl:lncRNA
ACAUUGAACCGGAACCAAUAUGCGGUCCAGCGGCUCAAAGAGCAGUGACGUUUUCAGCAGCUGGCAGCGUCACAUUUGUACUAUGACCUUCUACCCAGAUAAGGUUUCACAUCUGAGAUCACUGUAAGCAUAUGGUCUCCAGACCUACUUCAUUUAUGUUACACAAUACAAAAUGGGGAAAAAAAUCUUGAAUUGAUUCCAAAGAGCACAUAUGAGAGAACACCUUUCAUGAACCCAAACAUGAGGCCUUCAAGAUGUUUGCCAAUCAGCCACAUCCAUCCAUGUGAAUCAGACAGUGGCUACCGUUCUUGUGUGACAGCCGGUUGAAACAGGAUUGAGAAUUUGUUUAAAUAAAAAGACAAAAUCCACUGGCUGGAGCA